AAAAGCCUGCUACUGGUCAGGGAAAGUAGCAGUGUAGAAUGCCAAGGGAGUGAGCUCAGCUCCUAAACACGGGAGGUCUUCCAGUGGAGAGAAGUGCAUAAUUACUGCAACUGACACUUCUUGUUGUAUCUCCAUGCUAUAUCAGGCGCUGGAAGAUCCAGGCAAGAAGCCAGACUGUGACUGUUCCCCUGUGACUGUUUACUUCAAGUGAGGCUGGAAGCAUCUUUUGGAAAUUCCCCAAAGGCUCAACAGCAUGAGAACAUGACGUAUCCUUGUGUUGUCAGCAAACCUCGCUGGUCUGGAAGGAGUGGAGAUGAGUUGCCAAUUGCUGUUUCUCAUCUCGUGGGCUUGAAGAGCUGUUUCUCACUCACACUGGCCUGAAGCCUGUAACCACUCAUUCCUGGGGUAACCACAAGAGGAUUUUCCAGAGCAGAGGCCGCUAAAACACUGUCUAUAGUGCUUGAGGAAAGCUUCAGAAUGGGAAUCUAGGAUGAAGCCUGAUCCUCCAUCUGCUUUAGUAACAAUGUCUCGAGCUGGGAAGUAAAAUGCAUGCAAUUCAUAAAUUUAAAUAUACCGAUAUUUUUUCUUGCUUUUAGUUCUGAGAACAAAGGACUAGUUCAUGGUGAGGAGUGAACUCAAAACACUGAUAUAUAGACUACAAACUUUGGUUUAAUCAUCUCUGUUAAUCAACAGAACAACCUUUGUAAAUUCAACUGUGUAAAAAUCAACCUUGUUCACGUCUCCCUAGCAUCCCUUCAGCCCACUUCCUGGAUUAGCUUCUAUUCAUUCAGCUGUUAGUCUGCUUUGAGGUAUUAAAGUAACUUUGAGCUAUUCUGUAAAGAAGGAAGUAGGCAGGCUCCCCUGCAGUGUGACAGUGGGAAAGGACUGAAAAGAGAUGAACGUGCAAGUUCUGCUGGUUUUGAAGACAGACUUUUUUUCUUCAUGUUAUGUGUUAAGUACUUAAGAUGGUAAGUUGGCAGAUACACGUUAGCUUCAAUGACAUGGAAUUGUACAUCUUGUACAAUCUGGCCCUGAGACUGUCAGCACUGAAAAAUCUCAUUGUGACAGAGCUGCAAUAGUCAGAAAAUGUAUUUCCUUUUCCCUAGUUAUGACUCUCAGCAGUCUGAUCUUUGGUAAAUGUCAAGUGUGGGUUUAAUUCUGAGUUUCCUGGCUCUCAUGUACCUUCCACUUUAACCAGCACCAGACAUGACUGCUGGUAUACUUUUAUCGUGUGCUAAAAAUAAGGCACUGAUAAAAGGGACCAUAGUACACACUUAGAGACUCGCCCUAAAUACUACAGGCAAACUUAAUCUUUUUGCUGAUAACGCAGUUCAUAAGGAAUAAAGAUGUGGUCUACAAUGUGUAGACUACAGUGGUGGGGGUGCCAGCACUGCAGGACCUCCUCAUUCUGGUGAGGAAGAGAAGGGAAAUUAAGUUCAAAGAUCUGGCUGUCCACCUGUGGACAAA
rnacentral:lncRNA from 1 species